rnacentral:precursor_RNA from 1 species
AGUUGGACAGGGGAUCUUGACAGUUUGAGCUAUGUGCUGCCAGAUCUAUCUUUCCAGCUCA